UGGUAGGUGUGCAUUGGCGCGCAACUCUGACUUUGAAUCAGAGCCAUUAUAGGUUCGAUUCCUAUCCUACCAGC
rnacentral:tRNA from 1 species